rnacentral:rRNA from 1 species
UACGCAGGGGGCUAGCGUUGUCCGGAAUCAUUGGGCGUAAAGCGCGUGUAGGCGGUUCGGUAAGUCCGCUGUGAAAGUCGGGGGCUCAACCCUCGAAUGCCGGUGGAUACUGUCGGACUAGAGUACGUAAGAGGCGAGUGGAAUUCCUGGUGUAGCGGUGAAAUGCGCAGAUAUCAGGAGGAACACCAAUUGCGAAGGCAGCUCGCUGGGACGUUACUGACGCUGAGACGCGAAAGCGUGGGGAGCAAACAGG